rnacentral:rRNA from 1 species
CUCUAUGGCCAUCCCACCCUGAAACGCCUGAUCACCUCUGAUUUCAAAGGCUAAGCAGGGUCAGGCCUGGUGAGUAGCUGGCGGGGAGACCUCUCUUGGGAAUACUAGAGGCUGUAGCUC